rnacentral:lncRNA from 1 species
UGACCGCGGCCGCGCGCGCUCCCGCCGGGCACCAUGAACCCCGGCGGUCUGAAGUUUGUUAUUUUCACGGCACUUCAGGCUUUUUUCGUGUCCCUGUCGGUGUGCGACGGUGCGCUCCUCAGACCUGCUGAAGAGAAUCUUCUCAGCACAACUGCUGAGCCCAGAGCGGCGGCGGCGGCGAGGCGGCGGCUCUACGGGACCACGGUGCCGCUGCAGCUUGUUGGACGAGACUGGAAAAGCAUCGAGCAGCUGAAAGCGCAGGUGGGAAAGACCGUGGUGUGCUCCUCUUCCUGAUCUGCUGCCUGUUUGUGCGUCCUGGCGGUUCUGGCGCUGGAGAUGAACAGACGGAUGAUCACAGUUCAAAGUGAAGGAGGAAACAUUACGCGGCCGCAUAUCUGUUAAAUCCCAGACCUUCUCACAUCUAAAUAUACAGCUGCCAGGCAGACUCGAAAAAGCCCGUUGUGUUGUUUUCAAUUCAUUAGUGGAUUAAUUUGUUCUGGCUAAACCCAACAGCCACACAGUUUCCCAGGGACGCUAUUACUCCAAACAAAGCCCCAGAACCUCAGAAACGCAUCGCUAAUUUGAAAUUUACGCGUUUUAAUAACCACCCAGUCUUCUGUGCACGUUUUCUAUGUACGCUUGAAGCUAUAAAUGUUGUGAGGGAGGUCAGAACGCUCUGACAGCGGGAACUGGGGCAUUUACAUCCACGCGACUUGUGCCGUGAUGCCAUUGUGCCUCCACGUCCACUUGAUCCGGCAGACGUUCUCCUCCGCAGGGGGCUGAUGGACGACUUAACCCCGAGCCGCGCGCUCUGCCACGGGUGACCCAGAUUGAUGGCUGUACAGCGUGUGUGUGUGUGUGUGUGUGUGUGUGUGUGUGUGUGUGUGUGUGUGUGUGUGUGUGUGUGUGUGUGUGUGUGUGUGACUGACAGGCGUGAUGCGCGACUCGUGCCACCCCGUUUGACUCGUGCGGAGUCUCAGUGUUGUAAGUCUGGGGUGUGAAGCCUCGUGGCUUCCUGAGGGAUUAAUGUCAGAUGGAAUAGAAACAUAAA